rnacentral:rRNA from 1 species
UACGUAGGGUGCGAGCGUUGUCCGGAAUUAUUGGGCGUAAAGGGCUCGUAGGCGGUUUGUCGCGUCGGGAGUGAAAACCCAGGGCUUAACCCUGGGCUGGCUUCCGAUACGGGCAGACUAGAGGUAUGCAGGGGAGAACGGAAUUCCUGGUGUAGCGGUGAAAUGCGCAGAUAUCAGGAGGAACACCGGUGGCGAAGGCGGUUCUCUGGGCAUUACCUGACGCUGAGGCGCGAAAGCGUGGGGAGCAAACAGG